CUUUAACGAGACAUGUGCACGCCUGGCUCAUCCACUCUCAACCUCUGUGCACUUUAUGUAAGAAACGGUGUAAGCCAGCUAUCUAAUAGUUGGUAAUAAGCCUUUCUUAUGUUUAUUACAAACGCUUCAGUUAUAGAAUGUUUACUGUGUAUAACACAAUUAUAUACAACUUUCAGCAACGGAUCUCUUGGCUCUCGCAUCGAUGAAGAACGCAGCGAAAUGCGAUAAGUAAUGUGAAUUGCAGAAUUCAGUGAAUCAUCGAAUCUUUGAACGCACCUUGCACUCCUUGGUAUUCCGAGGAGUAUGCCUGUUUGAGUCUCAUGGAAUUCUCAACCCCUAAAUUUUGUAAUGAAGUUUAGUGGGCUUGGACUUGGAGGUUGUGUCGGCUUCUGGUCGACUCCUCUGAAAUGCAUUAGCGUGAAUCUUACGGAUCGCCUUCAGUGUGAUAAUUAUCUGCGCUGUGGUGUUGAAGUAUUUAUUAGUUCAUGCUUAUAGUCGUCUCUUACCGAGACAAUUUAUGACAAUCUGAGCUCAAAUCAGGUAGGACUACCCGCUGAACUUAAGCAUAUCAAUAAGCGGAGGAAAAGAAACUAACAAGGAUUCCCCUAGUAACUGCGAGUGAAGCGGGAAAAGCUCAAAUUUAAAAUCUGGCGGCUUUGGUCGUCCGAGUUGUAUUCUAGAGAAGUGUUUUCCGCGUUGGACCGUGUAUAAGUCUCUUGGAACAGAGCGUCAUAGAGGGUGAGAAUCCCGUCUUUGACACGGACUACCAAUGCUUUGUGAUACACUCUCAAAGAGUCGAGUUGUUUGGGAAUGCAGCUCAAAA
rnacentral:rRNA from 1 species